rnacentral:rRNA from 1 species
UAAGCAUAUCACUAAGCGGAGGAAAAGAAACUAACCAGGAUUCCUUAGUAACGGCGAGCGAACCGGAAAGAGCCCAGCUUGAAAAUUGCGAGGCUCACGCCGCGCGAAUUGUAGUCUGGAGAAGCGUCCUCCGCAGCGGACCGAGCCCAAGUUCCCUGGAACGGGACGUCGGAGAGGGUGAGAGCCCCGUCGAGCUCGGACCCUGCUGCUCCACGAGGCGCUGUCGGCGAGUCGGGCUGUUUGGGAAUGCAGCCCUAAGCGGGUGGUAAAUUCCAUCCAAGGCUAAAUACGGGCAAGAGACCGAUAGCGAACAAGUACCGCGAGGGAAAGAUGAAAAGGACUUUGAAAAGAGAGUCAAAAAGUGCUUGAAAUUGCUGGGAGGGAAGCGAAUGGAGGCCCCGGGUGCGCCCCGGUUGUUUGCGGAACGGCGAGAGCUGGUCCGCCGCUCAACGCGGGGCGCUGGUCAGCGUGGGCUGCCGCGGCGGGACAAAGAGCGGGCUUCUUCGCCCGCCCAUGCCGUUGCGGCGGCCGAGGAACCGAAGCGCGCGCCGCUUCGUCGGCGGGCUCCCUCGGGAGCACCUGCGCGCUCGGGACGCUGGCGCACUGGGCUUUCCAUCCGACCCGUCUUGAAACACGGACCAAGGAGUCUAACAUGUAUGCGAGCCGGUGGGUGGCAAACCCACGAGGCGCAAGGAAACUGACAGGUGGGAUCCGUUCUCGGAGCACCAUCGACCGACCGUGAUCUUCUGUGAAAGGUUCGAGUGCGAGCAUACCUGCUGGGACCCGAAAGAUGGUGAACUAUGCCUGAGCAGGGCGAAGCCAGAGGAAACUCUGGUGGAGGCUCGUAGCGAUACUGACGUGCAAAUCGUUCGUCAGACUUGGGUAUAGGGGCGAAAGACUAAUCGAACCAUCUAGUAGCUGGUUCCCUCCGAAGUUUCCCUCAGGAUAGCUGGAGCUCGUGACUAGUUUUAUCAGGUAAAGCGAAUGAUUAGAGGCAUCGGGGGUGAAACACCCUCGACCUAUUCUCAAACUUUAAAUAGGUAAGCGGCCGGGGUUGCUCGGUUGAACCCCGGCACGGAAUGGGAGCUCCAAGUGGGCCAUUU